AAAAAAUUGUUUAUUAGUAACAUUAGUAAAAAUUGUGUGCCUCAAUAUCAUGUGCAUUUGUCACCUUCCAUUAUUUAUUUUUUAAACAUGUUUAAAUUCAUCCCCUGCAAACUCAAACCAGAAACGAUGUACCAAAGAAACGAUGUACCCAGACUAAUAUGGUUGCCAUUCAUGAACCCUCUAACUAUAUACAUAAUGGUAACACUUUACAAUAAGUUUCAUUAGUUAACAUUAGUUAACUACAUUAGUUAACAUGAAGUAAUAAUGAACUGCACUUAUACAGCAUUUAAAAAUCUUUGUUAAUGUUAAUUUCAACAUUUACUAAUACAUUAUUAAAUUCUUGUUAACAUUAUUUAAUGCACUGUGAACUAACAUGAACAAACAAUGAACAGCUGGAUUUUCAUUAACUAAUGUUAACGAAGAUUAGUAAAUACAGUAACAAAUGUAUUGCUCAUGGUUAGUUCAUGUUAGUUAAUACAUUAUCUAAUGUUUAACUAAUGAACAUUAUUGUAAAGUGUACAUUUCAAAAGUCCCAAAUAAAAAUAUUUAUUAGGCAAAGUGUCAACUAUAUGACAUUAUGUGUUCAUGAGUCUGAAAAUGCACUUUACUCAUGUAACUACUGUGAAAAAAAACAUGUUUCCCUGUGCCCUUUCCUUUCCGCAUAGAAAACUGUUGUGGAACUGAAUGAAAUUUUGUGCAUCAGACAGGAGACUUAUAAGGAGCUAGAAGAUUUUUCAGCAGCGCAUUUCAGAUUUCCCGUAAAUCAUUGUGCUUGUCCUGUAAAUACAACCUUUGGUAAACUGGCAGCUGCUCUAUUGAUCUUUUCGUGGUCGAGAGAACUAUUGAACUGUUUACUUUCAUGCAAAUGUGCCAAAGUCGUAAGAUGCACUGGAAUGAGAUUUGUUGAUUUAUAUGUUUUGCUCAACAUUUAACUUUUGUAACACUGGCAGGAACAAAACAGAUGACAGGUGUAGAAUGGAUGUGCAGGGUUUAUUAUAACAAACAAACAAAACAUAAAGAACUAAGGAACACAAAGAGCUAGGGAAGAUACUGAACAAAAGAAUGCAGUCCAUCUAAAUGUAACAACAGGUGAAGGUUAACUAAGGAACGAGUUUAACUAUAGAAAUUGCUAAGGCAGGCAAUUAAACAAAGGAAACAAGAGCUAAACAGAAUAAAUCAGAAUACAGGAACAAUGCGAACAAAACUAUACAGUACUUCAAAAUAAGAGUCCACAACACAAGACAGUAAUCAUGACAACUUUACAUUAACUAGCAACAUUAUCUUUCCCCAGAAAUUAAUACACCUAUAUUCUUUGUAUUACUACAUGAAAAUAAACGUUAAUGAUAUUUUCGAAUGUGUCUGGUUGCUCCAGGGAGUAAAAUAGAAGUUGAGGUGUUGUAACGCUAUUACACCCUAGUAGCUCAUUUCUGUUAUCACCAGUUAAAAAUGGGCUACAGUAAUAAAUGGGUACACUAUAAAAGUCAUAAGACUGUGUUAAAAAAAAAAAAAAGGAUUUACAGAACAA